rnacentral:rRNA from 1 species
UACGGGGGGGCAAGCGUUGUUCGGAAUUACUGGGCGUAAAGGGCUCGUAGGCGGCCAACUAAGUCAUACGUGAAAUCCCUCGGCUUAACCGGGGAACUGCGUCUGAUACUGGAUGGCUUGAGUUCGGGAGAGGGAUGCGGAAUUCCAGGUGUAGCGGUGAAAUGCGCAGAUAUCAGGAAGAACACCAAUGGCGAAGGCAGCUCGCUGGGACGCGACUGACGCUGAGACGCGAAAGCGUGGGGAGCGAACAGG